AUUGAACGCUGGCGGCAUGCCUUACACAUGCAAGUCGAACGGCAGCGGGCCUUCGGGUGCCGGCGAGUGGCGAACGGGUGAGUAAUGCAUCGGAACGUGCCAUUGAGUGGGGGAUAACGUAGCGAAAGUUACGCUAAUACCGCAUAUUCUGUGAGCAGGAAAGCAGGGGACCGCAAGGCCUUGCGCUCUUUGAGCGGCCGAUGUCAGAUUAGCUAGUUGGUGAGGUAAAGGCUUACCAAGGCGACGAUCUGUAGCGGGUCUGAGAGGAUGAUCCGCCACACUGGAACUGAGACACGGUCCAGACUCCUACGGGAGGCAGCAGUGGGGAAUUUUGGACAAUGGGCGCAAGCCUGAUCCAGCCAUGCCGCGUGAGUGAAGAAGGCCUUCGGGUUGUAAAGCUCUUUCGGCCGGGAAGAAAUCGCAUGGGUUAAUACCCUGUGUGGAUGACGGUACCGGAAUAAGAAGCACCGGCUAACUACGUG
rnacentral:rRNA from 1 species